rnacentral:rRNA from 1 species
ACUCAAAUGAAUUGACGGGGACUUGCACAAGCAGUGGAUUAUGCGGUUUAAUUCGAUGAUAAACGAAAAACCUUACCAAGGUUAGAAAUCUACGUGAAGGCUGGCAGAAACGUCAGCCGUCCGCAAGGACUCGUAGACAGGUGUUGCAUGGCCGUCGUCAGUUCGUGAUUUGAAUUGUUCCCUUAAGUGGGGUAACGAACGCAACCCUCGUUGCCAGUUACAAGUGUCUGGCGAGACUGCCCCCGUUUGUGGGCGUAAGCCAACAUUGUAUUGUUGGCUUGUUACUACAAACGGGGGAGGAAGGCGAGGAUGACGCCAGGUCAGCAUGACCCUUGAUACCUUGGGCCACACGCAUAAUACAAUCGCAUCUACAACGGGUCGCGACGCCGUAAGGCUGAGCUAAUCCUUAGAAAAGGUGCGCCAGUUCGGAUUGGGGGCUGAAACUCGACCCCAUGAAGCCGGAAUUGCUAGUAAUCGCGGGUCAGCUAUACCGCGGUGAAUACGUUCUCAAGUCUUGUACACACCGCCCGU